rnacentral:rRNA from 1 species
GACGAACGCUGGCGGCGUGCUUAACACAUGCAAGUCGAACGGAAAGGCCCUGCUUGCAGGGUACUCGAGUGGCGAACGGGUGAGUAACACGUGGGUGAUCUGCCCUGCACUUCGGGAUAAGCCUGGGAAACUGGGUCUAAUACCGGAUAGGAGCCAUUUUUAGUGUGAUGGUUGGAAAGUUUUUUCGGUGUAGGAUGAGCUCGCGGCCUAUCAGCUUGUUGGUGGGGUAAUGGCCUACCAAGGCGGCGACGGGUAGCCGGCCUGAGGGGGUGGACGGCCACAUUGGGACUGAGAUACGGCCCAGACUCCUACGGGAGGCAGCAGUGGGGAAUAUUGCACAAUGGGCGCAAGCCUGAUGCAGCGACGCCGCGUGGGGGAUGACGGCCUUCGGGUUGAAAACUCCUUUCGCUAGGGACGAAGCUUUUUGUGACGGUACCUAGAUAAGAAGCACCGGCUAACUACGUG